rnacentral:tRNA from 1 species
GUCUGAGUGGCUCAGUCGGUUGAGUGUCUGACUUCGGCUCAGGUCAUGAUCUCACAGUUUGUGGGUUCAAGCCCCAUGUCGGUCU